rnacentral:rRNA from 1 species
AGAGUUUGAUCCUGGCUCAGAGUGAACGCUGGCGGCAGGCCUAACACAUGCAAGUCGAACGGCAGCACAGCAGUAGCAAUACUGUGGGUGGCGAGUGGCGGACGGGUGAGGAAUGCGUCGGAAUCUGCCUUUUUGUGGGGGAUAACGUAGGGAAACUUACGCUAAUACCGCAUACGACCUACGGGUGAAAGUGGGGGACCUUCGGGCCUCACGCAGAAAGAUGAGCCGACGCCGGAUUAGCUAGUUGGCGGGGUAAAGGCCCACCAAGGCGACGAUCCGUAGCUGGUCUGAGAGGAUGAUCAGCCACACUGGGACUGAGACACGGCCCAGACUCCUACGGGAGGCAGCAGUGGGGAAUAUUGGACAAUGGGCGCAAGCCUGAUCCAGCCAUGCCGCGUGUGUGAAGAAGGCCUUCGGAGUUGUAAAGCACUUUUGUCCGGAAAGAAAAGCUUCGGGUUAAUAAACCUGGAGUCAUGACGUACCGGAA